rnacentral:rRNA from 1 species
UACGAAGGGGGCUAGCGUUGCUCGGAGUUACUGGGCGUAAAGGGCGCGUAGGCGGAUGUUUAAGUCGGGGGUGAAAGCCCAGGGCUCAACCCUGGAAUUGCCUUCGAUACUGGACAUCUUGAGUACGGGAGAGGUGAGUGGAACUCCGAGUGUAGAGGUGAAAUUCGUAGAUAUUCGGAAGAACACCAGUGGCGAAGGCGACUCACUGGCCCGUUACUGACGCUGAUGCGCGAAAGCGUGGGGAGCAAACAGG